ensembl:ncRNA lncRNA:CR46252 long non-coding RNA:CR46252
ACUGUUGGGCGAUCUGGCCGUUUCAAUUACCCCGGUUCGCUCCAGGAAAACUCUUAAAUGUCCCGGAAUAUAUCCGUGGCCCAAGAUAGGAGAGGAUUAAACCUAUUUCGGAGAACAUGAUUAAAAGCAAUACAUAGCUUAAUCUCAGGCCAUGUUCAAUUGAAUAUCUGUGUCAAAUUAAUAAAAACACCUGAUAGGGUAAACAAUACAUAUCCACGUUUUGUUGCACGUCCCUUCUGAUCCCUUGGAGCUACACGGGGUUAGGAGAACCUGCGUAUGUGAGUACGCCAACAGUAUUGCAGUCUCAACAAGCACCGCCCAUUGCGGGGCAGGUUACCGAGGUGGGUUGUAGCCCGUAAAGGAAUGCUGGACAUUUGCUUUAACCAUUUCAAAAGCAGUCGACGAUCCUAGGGUGAUCCCUGCCUGAUGAGGGAUUGAAAAAGAAAUGAAGGAAUGUUAGAGUUACUCAAUAAUUAUAUUUAUGUGUAAU